UGCAUCAGCAGGCAGACUCUCAACCACUGUGCCACCAGGGAAGCCCUCAAGCGAACAUUUUAAAGAGUGGACCUGGGCACAUGCAAGUGGCCUUGUAAAUUCGUUUCUGAUGGAGAGGAGCUGGAAGACUCCACCAAGGACAAGCUGCUUUGAGGAUUUAACAGCUUGGAAAGUUGUUGGAUGCCAGUGGACUUGCCUGGAAACCCAUCAAUCUUGGCCUUUCAGAGGACAUCUUCAACAGAAUUUAUUUGCCAGGUAAGUCAUGAAGAUUGGGAUUUGCCCUCAAAUUUCCCUUCCAGGCUGCUCUUCAAAUGAAUAGUUCCCAAUCCAAAAGAGACCACAGUUGUCUUAGAUGUGUACAUUUUAAAAUCUGAGUUUACUGCUUUUUCUUAGUUUUACAGUCUCCACUAUAAGCCACUAUUAAUCUGACUAGGUUUUGCUACUCCUACAAAUUUGAAUCUGGUAAUGACUAACACUGAACUCAAUAAGGAGUGAGGAGAAUUUCAGAACAUUUGGCUUUGUUUUAAAGGGCAAGAUUUUGGAAGCAGGCUCACCAGACUCCAUCCAGAUCCAUUUUCCUGGCACAUAACUAGUAGGACUCUGCCCGGGCUCCAGGUGAGAGGAAAGGGCAGGAGAGGGUACUUACUUCCUGUGAGCCUGGCACGGGGACCAAGAGUGACUUAGGACUCCAGGUGCCAGACCCCCACAGCACAAUGGCCUUUGGAUGCCUCUGCGUGUCCUGGAAAGGAGAGGUGGCUCCUUUCCAAGGCAGGAUGGGGCUGGUAGGGGUUUUGGGAACAGGCAGGAGUCCAGGAGCUGAUGGCCACCAUAGCUCCCUGCACUCACGGGGCCUGCUGUCAGCUCUGCUUCCCCCUGAUUUCAUUCAUGGGAGGAUGCAGAUCCUGCAUACAGACUGGGCUUUCGGUAAAGGUUAAUCCCCAAGCCUCCCUCUGCUUGAAAGAAGAAUAUGUAACUCGGCCAGGCUUAUUUCUCACCCUGUGUCAGUGUUCACCUUGAUCAUGAAAUAGGAUUUCUGAAUCAAUUGCACAUCAGACCCAGCUGGGUCUUGACUCACUGCCUGAGUUUUCCAUGUCUUUUUGGGGGGGAAGCAAACCUCUCGCUUGGUGAAUGCUUUCUGAUUGUUCAUCUUUUUCCAUUUGGUGUUUUGCUUUGGAAAUUCGGGGCACAGUAGAAGUGUCUGUACCUGCGUUUGUGUUAGGAGUUUAAAAAUAUAACCCUGAUUUUUGGUAAAGGAGAAAAGAUUGG